rnacentral:snRNA from 11 species
AUACUUAACUCACCCGGGAGUCCGUGAUCAGGAAGGCGGACUUCCCUGGGGACAUCUCUAUGAUGCGCCUCAGCGAGUUUACAUCCUUCUACGGGGUGCGAAAUUUUUGGUAGCUGGGAUGACCCUGUCUGGGUCGUCCCAU